GAUUGUCCUUUGGACAAUGGUAGGAGAGCGUUCUAAGGGCGUUGAAGCAUGAUCGUAAGGACAUGUGGAGCGCUUAGAAGUGAGAAUGCCGGUGUGAGUAGCGAAAGACGGGUGAGAAUCCCGUCCACCGAUUGACUAAGGUUUCCAGAGGAAGGCUCGUCCGCUCUGGGUUAGUCGGGUCCUAAGCUGAGGCCGACAGGCGUAGGCGAUGGAUAACAGGUUGAUAUUCCUGUACCACCUAUAAUCGUUUUAAUCGAUGGGGGGACGCAGUAGGAUAGGCGAAGCGUGCGAUUGGAUUGCACGUCUAAGCAGUAAGGCUGAGUAUUAGGCA
rnacentral:rRNA from 1 species